UUUUUGCUUGCAAACUAAAAGAUGGCGACCGGCGCACGGGUGAGUAACACGUAUCCAACCUGCCGAUAACUCGGGGAUAGCCUUUCGAAAGAAAGAUUAAUAUCCGAUGGUAUAUUAAAACCGCAUGGUUUUACUAUUAAAGAAUUUCGGUUAUCGAUGGGGAUGCGUUCCAUUAGUUUGUUGGGGGGGUAACGGCCCACCAAGACUACGAUGGAUAGGGGUUCUGAGAGGAAGGUCCCCCACAUUGGAACUGAGACACGGUCCAA
rnacentral:rRNA from 1 species